AAGUCGUAACAAGGUCUCCGUUGGUGAACCAGCGGAGGGAUCAUUACCGAGUUUACAACUCCCAAACCCUUUGUGAACAUACCAUCGUUGCUUCGGCGGGACCGCCCCGGCGCCUUCACUGCGCGCCGGAACCAGGCGCCCGCCGGGGGCCCGAAACUCUUGCCUUUUGAGCGUGGAAUUUCUCUGAGUGGCACACAAAAAAAAUGAAUCAAAACUUUCAACAACGGAUCUCUUGGUUCUGGCAUCGAUGAAGAACGCAGCGAAAUGCGAUAAGUAAUGUGAAUUGCAGAAUUCAGUGAAUCAUCGAAUCUUUGAACGCACAUUGCGCCCGCCGGCAUUCUGGCGGGCAUGCCUGUUCGAGCGUCAUUUCAACCCUCAGGCCCCCCUUUCCGGGGGCCUGGCGUUGGGGAUCGGCCCUGCAGCCCAGGGCCGGCCCCGAAAUACAGUGGCGGUCACGCCGCGGCUUCCUCUGCGUAGUAGUAACAUCCUCGCAUAGGGACGCGGCGCGGCCACGCCGUAAAGCGGGCGCGAGCCCAGCACACUUCUCAAGGUUGACCUCGGAUCAGGUAGGAAUACCCGCUGAACUUAA
rnacentral:rRNA from 1 species